rnacentral:lncRNA from 1 species
AGGAAGUGGGUCGCUGAAAUUGAGAUGGCCACAGAAAAGGGACCAUCAGAUGUGCGAUCAUGCAGUCAACUGUGCAGGCUUGCAGGAUUGGAGCCCUCGGAUACAGGAGCUGCACUGUGGCCAAACAUCCCUGUUUCUUCAGGUUUGGGAACAAAUCGAGACUGUUUUCUUCCCGAGAAGCAAACACUUCAGAUAACUAGCGGCAGUUCUUAGAAAGAAUGUGAACGGAUCUCCCCACCUCCGAAGCUGUCUGGAAACCUGGAAAGUCUAUUCAUGAGGAAAGAGGAUUCACGAUGACUGGAGAUUUAAUCAAGACCUUGUACGCACUGGGCAUGGGCUUUUCUGUUGAGCUGCAUCCUAGCCCUUUUAUUUUGAUUUGUGAUAAAAAUUGCAACAUCUUGAUCCAGAUCCUAUAGCCUAACAGGAAGGGAAGGACCCAAAGCUGUUCAUGUGGUUACCCUGUGAUAGACAUGGAUUUCUGUUACAAUCUCUGAGUAAACAGAGAAUGUGAUGGUUUGAAUGUGCUCUGCCCAGGGAGUAGUGCAAUGAGAAGGUGUGGCCCUGUUAGAGUAGGUGUGUCCUGUGGGCUUGGGCUUCAAGACCCUUGUCCUAGCUGCCUGGAAGUCAGUAUUCUGCUAUCAGCCUUCAGAUGAAGAUGUAGAAUUCUCAUCUCCUACUGCACCAUGCCUGCUUAGACACUGCCAUACUCUUGCCUUGAUGAUAAUGGACUGAACCUCUGAGCCUGUAAGCCAGCCCCAAUUAAAUGUUGUCCUGACGAGAGUUGCCUCAGUCGUGGUGUCUGUUAACAACAGUAAACCCCUAACUAAGACAUAGGGCUUUGCUGAUUGAUGAUGUUUGCCUUUGAGAACUCGCCAACAGCCAACUGAAGGCAGGAUACUUCACUGAGCCUUAAAGAAAGUAUGGGGAGAAGAGAGCACUUAUUGAGGCAAAGCCGAGGAAGGCUGGGAAUGAGUUUCUCUCAGGUCCAGGGACUGAUGUUGCAGGGCUGGAAUACAGCACGUGACACCACAGAGAAGAGGGGGCCCUCCUAGAGAUGGGCAACUUAUCGGAGGGGCUGAUGGCAGCGGCCUUCCAGACUCCACAAGAGCCUGCUUGUGUAUAUGUGUAUCACCCGUGUGCCUGGCGUCUGCUGAGGUCUGAAGAAGACAUUGGAUCGAUCCCCUGGGACUCGAGUUAUGGAGAGCUGUGAAGCCCUGCAUGGAUCCUGAGAACUGAACCUAAGUGCUCUGUAAGAGCGACAAAUGUUAACUACUGAGCCAUCUCUUGGGCGCCGGAAUCUUAUUUCUUUAGCGAGGUUCUUCUUACCGAAUCUAAGCUGCCCCCUGUUGGAGUGGGCUAGGGCUAUAAGCCAGGCGUGUUACAGGUGUGUGCCUACAUACCCAGCUUUUACAGAUGUGCUCGGGUCUCUGAACCCAGAUCUUCAUGCUUGUGUGGCAAGCACUUUGUCCCACGACGAGUCAUCCUUCUGUUCCUGUUUGAAGGAUUUUGUAUUGCUAUUACCAGAGCCUGGGGUUAAGCUCUGCCUCUGCCGUGCAGAGAUCCAGUAAGAAUCCAGUAAGAAUCUGUGUGUAUUUGUC